UAGGGAAUCUUCCACAAUGGACGCAAGUCUGAUGGAGCAACGCCGCGUGAGUGAAGAAGGUUUUCGGAUCGUAAAGCUCUGUUGUUGGUGAAGAAGGAUAGAGGCAGUAACUGGUCUUUAUUUGACGGUAAUCAACCAGAAAGUCACGGCUAACUACGUGCCAGCAGCCGCGGUAAUACGUAGGUGGCAAGCGUUGUCCGGAUUUAUUGGGCGUAAAGCGAGCGCAGGCGGAAUGAUAAGUCUGAUGUGAAAGCCCACGGCUCAACCGUGGCACUGCAUCCGAAACUGUCAUGCUUGAGUGCAGAAGAGGAGAGUGGAAUUCCAUGUGUAGCGGUGGAAUGCGUAGAUAUAUGGUAGAAGACCAGUGGCGAAGGCGGCUGUCUGGUCUGCAACUGACGCUGAGGCUCGAAAGCAUGGGUAGCGAACAGG
rnacentral:rRNA from 1 species